UCUUGGUAUGGGUGCAUUUUGCUUAUAAAGUACCAAUCUAAAUCGAUUGAAAUGUUCAAAUGAUUCUAUAAUAAGAUAGAAAAAUAAAAUGCAAAGAGUAUUAGAACUCAUCGAUCAGAUCGAUGAAGUAAAUACCUUUACAGUAAGUUUUAGACAUAUUUAGAAGAGAAUUGGAUUCUCUCUUAAUGGACCUUUCCUAAGACACC
rnacentral:lncRNA from 1 species